rnacentral:rRNA from 1 species
CAUUAACUGAAUCCAUAGGUUAAUGAGGCGAACCGGGGGAACUGAAACAUCUAAGUACCCCGAGGAAAAGAAAUCAACCGAGAUUCCCCCAGUAGCGGCGAGCGAACGGGGAGGAGCCCAGAGCCUGAAUCAGUGUGUGUGUUAGUGGAAGCGUCUGGAAAGGCGCGCGAUACAGGGUGACAGCCCCGUACACAAAAAUGCACAUAUUGUGAGCUCGAUGAGUAGGGCGGGACACGUGGUAUCCUGUCUGAAUAUGGGGGGACCAUCCUCCAAGGCUAAAUACUCCUGACUGACCGAUAGUGAACCAGUACCGUGAGGGAAAGGCGAAAAGAACCCCGGCGAGGGGAGUGAAAAAGAACCUGAAACCGUGUACGUACAAGCAGUGGGAGCCUCUUAAUGGGGUGACUGCGUACCUUUUGUAUAAUGGGUCAGCGACUUAUAUUCUGUAGCAAGGUUAACCGAAUAGGGGAGCCGAAGGGAAACCGAGUCUUAACUGGGCGUUAAGUUGCAGGGUAUAGACCCGAAACCCGGUGAUCUAGCCAUGGGCAGGUUGAAGGUUGGGUAACACUAACUGGAGGACCGAACCGACUAAUGUUGAAAAAUUAGCGGAUGACUUGUGGCUGGGGGUGAAAGGCCAAUCAAACCGGGAGAUAGCUGGUUCUCCCCGAAAGCUAUUUAGGUAGCGCCUCGUGAAUUCAUCUCCGGGGGUAGAGCACUGUUUCGGCAAGGGGGUCAUCCCGACUUACCAACCCGAUGCAAACUGCGAAUACCGGAGAAUGUUAUCACGGGAGACACACGGCGGGUGCUAACGUCCGUCGUGAAGAGGGAAACAACCCAGACCGCCAGCUAAGGUCCCAAAGUCAUGGUUAAGUGGGAAACGAUGUGGGAAGGCCCAGACAGCCAGGAUGUUGGCUUAGAAGCAGCCAUCAUUUAAAGAAAGCGUAAUAGCUCACUGGUCGAGUCGGCCUGCGCGGAAGAUGUAACGGGGCUAAACCAUGCACCGAAGCUGCGGCAGCGACACUAUGUGUUGUUGGGUAGGGGAGCGUUCUGUAAGCCUGUGAAGGUGUACUGUGAGGUAUGCUGGAGGUAUCAGAAGUGCGAAUGCUGACAUAAGUAACGAUAAAGCGGGUGAAAAGCCCGCUCGCCGGAAGACCAAGGGUUCCUGUCCAACGUUAAUCGGGGCAGGGUGAGUCGACCCCUAAGGCGAGGCCGAAAGGCGUAGUCGAUGGGAAACAGGUUAAUAUUCCUGUACUUGGUGUUACUGCGAAGGGGGGACGGAGAAGGCUAUGUUGGCCGGGCGACGGUUGUCCCGGUUUAAGCGUGUAGGCUGGUUUUCCAGGCAAAUCCGGAAAAUCAAGGCUGAGGCGUGAUGACGAGGCACUACGGUGCUGAAGCGACAAAUGCCCUGCUUCCAGGAAAAGCCUCUAAGCAUCAGGUAACAUCAAAUCGUACCCCAAACCGACACAGGUGGUCAGGUAGAGAAUACCAAGGCGCUUGAGAGAACUCGGGUGAAGGAACUAGGCAAAAUGGUGCCGUAACUUCGGGAGAAGGCACGCUGAUAUGUAGGUGAAGCGACUUGCUCGUGGAGCUGAAAUCAGUCGAAGAUACCAGCUGGCUGCAACUGUUUAUUAAAAACACAGCACUGUGCAAACACGAAAGUGGACGUAUACGGUGUGACGCCUGCCCGGUGCCGGAAGGUUAAUUGAUGGGGUUAGCGGUAACGCGAAGCUCUUGAUCGAAGCCCCGGUAAACGGCGGCCGUAACUAUAACGGUCCUAAGGUAGCGAAAUUCCUUGUCGGGUAAGUUCCGACCUGCACGAAUGGCGUAAUGAUGGCCAGGCUGUCUCCACCCGAGACUCAGUGAAAUUGAACUCGCUGUGAAGAUGCAGUGUACCCGCGGCAAGACGGAAAGACCCCGUGAACCUUUACUAUAGCUUGACACUGAACAUUGAGCCUUGAUGUGUAGGAUAGGUGGGAGGCUUUGAAGUGUGGACGCCAGUCUGCAUGGAGCCGACCUUGAAAUACCACCCUUUAAUGUUUGAUGUUCUAACGUGGGCCCCUUACCGGGGUUGCGGACAGUGUCUGGUGGGUAGUUUGACUGGGGCGGUCUCCUCCUAAAGAGUAACGGAGGAGCACGAAGGUUGGCUAAUCCUGGUCGGACAUCAGGAGGUUAGUGCAAUGGCAUAAGCCAGCUUGACUGCGAGCGUGACGGCGCGAGCAGGUGCGAAAGCAGGUCAUAGUGAUCCGGUGGUUCUGAAUGGAAGGGCCAUCGCUCAACGGAUAAAAGGUACUCCGGGGAUAACAGGCUGAUACCGCCCAAGAGUUCAUAUCGACGGCGGUGUUUGGCACCUCGAUGUCGGCUCAUCACAUCCUGGGGCUGAAGUAGGUCCCAAGGGUAUGGCUGUUCGCCAUUUAAAGUGGUACGCGAGCUGGGUUUAGAACGUCGUGAGACAGUUCGGUCCCUAUCUGCCGUGGGCGCUGGAGAACUGAGGGGGGCUGCUCCUAGUACGAGAGGACCGGAGUGGACGCAUCACUGGUGUUCGGGUUGUCAUGCCAAUGGCACUGCCCGGUAGCUAAAUGCGGAAGAGAUAAGUGCUGAAAGCAUCUAAGCACGAAACUUGCCCCGAGAUGAGUUCUCCCUGACUCCUUGAGAGUCCUGAAGGAACGUUGAAGACGACGACGUUGAUAGGCCGGGUGUGUAAGCGCAGCGAUGCGUUGAGCUAACCGGUACUAAUGAACCGUGAGGCUUAACCUU